AUGCCUCACCGAAAGCGAACGCUAUCUUAUUGCCACACUGGAAACAAAGAAAAAAAAUUAAGGAAAGAAUAAAAAAAAAAAUCAACCCCCAUAUUGCUGUAACAAUCAACUUAUUUCACAGAAUGAACUCACGCAAGCAAUAAAACAAUACGUAUAUACAAGGACACUUCGUGACAAAAUGGAAAGUUGCAUCCUGAAAAAUUUUCAAGUACAAAGAAGACUAUAUUUAUAUAUGUAUAUAAUAUUAAUAUCCUGGUUGAGAAACCAGACUGUUCUUUCCACUCUAUGGUGCUUUUAUGGCAGCACAAAAGUUACUGAUGAUAACAUUAAUACAUAUGUAAUUUUAAAGGCUGCGAAGAGACUAUGAAAUAAGAAAUGUUGGAAGAAAAGGCAAAAUUUGUUCAACUCGUAUAGCUGGAAAAAACAUUCACUCUCCUCCCGCCUUGCUUGGACGAGUGUGUGAUUCCUUUGCAGAGAAACUUGAGAAAAAGCUAUUUAAAAUAAUUGAGUGAAAUCAUCUGUUAUCCUCCUCUGGUAUUCAGAUUAUUCUGUCGAAUAUAUAAUAUACUUCAAAUCAUGUAUUAAGGUUCGAGAUUUCAGUGAUGAUCAUUUAUUUUAAAGAAUGACAUUGUAGGAUUGGUGUAAAUGGCCGGACCUGGCUCAUUUGAAUGAACACAGGUAGAAUAAUUUGAGCCAGAUAUGUCCUGAUUCUAAAUGCUAAAAAGGGUUAAGGAAUCCCAAGUUGCUUGCAUCAUUUCCCCUCGCAUCCCAGUCUUUUGUGGUUUUUAUAAAGAUCUCUCUCUACAUUGAUUUAUUAAUUUAAAAUAUUGAACUGGAGGUUUAGGUUCAAAGAAUAUAUUAUAUUAUUAGAUAUAGGAGAGUAUGAAAGUUUGUCUGUUUUAUGUGCAUGUGUGUAUGUAUACAAGUGUGAAAUUUUCAUUCAACUGUUGCAUUCCCUUUUUUUUUUAUUUUUUAAAUGAAAUGACAAAAAUCAAUCACAUCAUUAAAUUUAUAUUUUUAUAUUUAAAUAUCAUUCUUAUAUAAAAACAAUAACUGACAAAAAAAAAAGUUAAGGUAGAAAGAACAAUUCAAUCUUAAUGUGAUAAUAUUUUGCUGUUGCAGAAAUCACUUCAGGGAAUCAACGUAUGUUUUUUA